rnacentral:lncRNA from 1 species
ACAUAUACCUUCAUCAAAUAAUGCCAGACCUGUACCUUCCUCAAAUAAUGGAAGACAUGUACCUUCGGCAAAUAAUGGCAGACAUGUACUUUCAGCAAAUAAUGGUAGACAUAUACCUUCAGCAAAUAAUGGCAGACAUGUACCUUCAGCAAAUGAUGGUAGAGUUGUACCUGGCCGUCGUGAUGAAAGGAAACUGGUAUCUAUGAAUGGACAGAUGCAUUCUAAAGUGGGGCCCAAUAAGUUGAGUUCUGCCAGUAGACGACCCGAUUCAACAUCAAUGGACUCGAGAAG